UUCACCUUUCACCAUGAUUGUGAGGCCUCCCAGCCAUGUGGAACUCUGCAAAGAGGAUGUUCAAAGGGCAUCUUGGACCAGGAGGAGGAAGCCCAUUGUGAGGAUGGCAAAGAACAAUAAAUGGAAGGCCCGUGGAACCCUGAGCGGCUGCCCCAUCACUGUCCUCUCCAUCCUUUCCAUGCUUCCCAUGGUGCAUGGCUCUCAGGCUCUCCAAGCACCAUGAGCUCCUGGCGCGUAUGGCCUGGCCCCUGAGUGUGGAGUCUGUGGACUUUAAAUGUGCCUUUACUCAGCCAGCAUCUCCCUGGCUGGGUGCGAUGUUGCGUGGUGUGAUUCCUGACUGCGAUCCUGAGGGUGAAACUCUCUUCUGCUUGCUUCUGCCUUGGCCCUUGGGUCUUCUGUCCCACCUUUCCUGCCAUCCCCUGGUGGUGACAUUAGUGGAUCCCAUGUGAGAAAAGUGUCCAUCAAGAAAGUCAGAGGAAGAAGAAGUCUUUUUUUUUUUUUUUUAGAGAGGGAGUCUCACUCUGUUGCCCAGGCUGGAGUGCAGUGGCACAAUCUCGGCUCACUGCAACCUCCACCUCCGGGAUCAAGCUAUUCUCCUGCCUCAGUGUUCUGAGUAAUCUGGGAUUACAGGCAUGUACCACCAUGCGUAGCUAAUUUUUAUAUUUUUAGUAGAGACAGGGUUUCACCACAUUGGCCAGGCUGUAUUGAACUCCUGACCUCACGUGAUCUUCCCGUCUCAGCCUUAUAAAAUGCUGGGAUUAGAGGCGUGAGCCACUGUGCCUGGCCAAAGAAGAAAUCUUAGAAACUGUUUAGUUCAGGUCUUUCCAAGAAACCUUGUGUGGGUUUUACAACUGUGUCCCAAGAGCAACUACAGAGUGAAGGGGAGAGAGACGUGGAGAACAGGCCUCCAGCAUCCAGCCAAGGGGAGUGGCAGGCACACUGGGAUUUGGUGUAUAUGUUGGGCUUUGGGAAAUGUGUUAUUUCUUUUUCUUUUCUGAAGAAAGCCUUCCAUAGUCCAAAAGUCUCAAAACCACCAAAAUCUAUUCAUUUCAUUUUACAAAUGAGGAAAAUGGGUCUGGGAGAGGUUGACAGGCUCUCAAAAUCACAAUGGUAGAACAUGGCAGGGCCAGAUCCAGGUACCUCAUCUAUUGAUUUUGGGGGCUUCGUCCCACAAGGCCAACAUCCUACCACAUGUUCAUCUGAAUGAAACCCUCCCAGGCCAAAGAGAAUAUAUGAGCUAUGGCUCUAGAAAGACAGCACCAUAAAGCCUGCCGUAGCCUGGAGAAGAAAAUCAUAGAAAUGGACUUCCCGUCACUUUCAUCUACUGUGACCUACACCAACUGUGAAAAUAACAUGAAGAGGAGAGCCAUAGUUUUUGUUCAGUCACACACUCACGAUGUAUGCACAUGUUUCUGGAACACAACCAAAAUGUCAAAAUGCCGUUGAGAAUUGCACCUCACUAACUAACGUGGGCUUUGAAAUUUUAGAAAUUACUUAUGCCAGGCAGUGGUUAGUAAUGCUAGAAUGUUCGCUAGGUUGGUCGAGUUCUAACAAUCUCCCAACAGCAAAUAUUAACUUCAUUAAUUUAGCUCAUUUGAUGUAAUUACUAUUGGUUUUUAGUGUAAGGCAUAAUCUCAAAUCAAUAGAAACUUCAUCGGUUUUGCUCGAACGCGGGACCCUCCUUUAUGACCACGAUUACCUUUGGUGAUGGAAUUUAUGAUUCAGAUACAAAGACCCUCUAACAAAUUUGACUAAAGUGCUUUGGUCCUGAAAUGUCAUCAGUGUAUGAAAAUCGUUAUCCUGUUUUUAUUUCUCCUGAAAGUAUAAUAAUUAUUACUC
rnacentral:lncRNA from 1 species